AUAAACCUUUUCUGUAUCAAAGGUUAUAUGCUGGAUAGAGUGUUAAGGUCAAACUGCCUACAUAGGAAAGGAAAAGAAGUGAAGGAAAGAGAGCCAUAAACAGACAAACAUACAGAAAGAGACACAGAGCAAAAGGAGAGGAAACCCCUUCCACAUCCCUCAAAUAGAGACCUAUGUUAGCCUAACUAGGUCCAUAAAGCAUUUCAAGAGGUAUACAGAGGAUCUGUAACUCGUGCAAUAGUAAAUCUAUCCCAUCCGAUAGGAAAAAGAGAAGCAACAAAGGCAAUAAACCUUCAAGACAUCAAGAUUCCUGGGCUGCACAAGUUGGUGAAGCUCUAUGGAUGCUAAGGAGGAUCUUGUGAAAUAUGUGUUCAAUGGCCAAAGCAACAGGAUAUUUCACAUUGUUUUUCAUUCUGGAGCCUCAGUGAGAUAGAAGCAUUGGAAAUCAGCAACUAUAUGCAUCUUCCAUCCCAGGUGGAAUGAGGACAACUUCAGAAAGGCUGAGGCCAACCCAUAAAAAGAAUUAGAGCAAAGAGAACAGAAAGUGAAAGAUUGGACAAUAGCUUAAUAGCUUUUAGGCUGGAUUCAGGCAAAAUCUCGUUGGUUUGCAUUGUUUUCUUCAGUUGGUCUCUGGUAUGUUUCUGUCACCUGUGACAAAAGAAUGCCAACUGUGAUUUUCUGAAAA
rnacentral:lncRNA from 1 species